GGCCUAGUAGUGUACUGGUAACACAUCCUUGUCUAAUGAAAAAUUCCCAUCUUAGUGGAGGAAGCACCCUGUUCAAUUCGGGGCUGGGCCA